AGCGAACGCUGGCGGCAGGCCUAACACAUGCAAGUCGAACGAACUCUUCGGAGUUAGUGGCGGACGGGUGAGUAACACGUGGGAACGUGCCUUUUGGUUCGGAAUAACUCAGGGAAACUUGUGCUAAUACCGAAUGUGCCCUUCGGGGGAAAGAUUUAUCGCCAUUAGAGCGGCCCGCGUCUGAUUAGCUAGUUGGUGAGGUAACGGCUCACCAAGGCGAUGAUCAGUAGCUGGUCUGAGAGGAUGACCAGCCACACUGGGACUGAGACACGGCCCAGACUCCUACGGGAGGCAGCAGUGGGGAAUCUUGCGCAAUGGGCGAAAGCCUGACGCAGCCAUGCCGCGUGAAUGAUGAAGGUCUUAGGAUUGUAAAAUUCUUUCACCGGGGACGAUAAUGACGGUACCCGGAGAAGAAGCCCCGGCUAACUUCGUG
rnacentral:rRNA from 1 species